GAGUAAUGUCUGGGAAACUGCCUGAUGGAGGGGGAUAACUACUGGAAACGGUAGCUAAUACCGCAUAACGUCGCAAGACCAAAGAGGGGGACCUUCGGGCCUCUUGCCAUCGGAUGUGCCCAGAUGGGAUUAGCUAGUAGGUGGGGUAAAGGCUCACCUAGGCGACGAUCCCUAGCUGGUCUGAGAGGAUGACCAGCCACACUGGAACUGAGACACGGUCCAGACUCCUACGGGAGGCAGCAGUGGGGAAUAUUGCACAAUGGGCGCAAGCCUGAUGCAGCCAUGCCGCGUGUAUGAAGAAGGCCU
rnacentral:rRNA from 1 species